rnacentral:rRNA from 1 species
UACAGAGGGUGCGAGCGUUAAUCGGAAUUACUGGGCGUAAAGCGUGCGUAGACGGUUAUUUAAGUCGGGUGUGAAAGCCCCGGGCUCAACCUGGGAAUUGCAUUCGAGACUGAAUAGCUAGGGUACGGUAGAGGGAAGUGGAAUUUCCGGUGUAGCGGUGAAAUGCGUAGAUAUCGGAAGGAACAUCAGUGGCGAAAGCGGCUUCCUGGCCUGUUCUUGACGCUGAGGCGCGAAAGCUAGGGGAGCAAACGGG